rnacentral:rRNA from 1 species
CCUACGGGAGGCAGCAGUGAGGAAUAUUGGUCAAUGGGAGAGAUCCUGAACCAGCCAAGCCGCGUGAGGGAAGACGGCCCUAUGGGUUGUAAACCUCUUUUGUCGGAGAACAAAACCCGGGACGUGUCCCGGACCACGUGUAUCCGACGAUAAAGCAUCGGCUAACUCCGUGCCAGCCGCCGCGGUAAUACGGAGGAUGCGAGCGUUAUCCGGAUUUAUUGGGUUUAAAGUGUGCGUAGGCGGUCCGUUAAGUCAGCGGUAAAAUUGCGGGGCUCAACCCCGGCGAGCCGUUGACACUGGCAGACUAGAGUUGGCGAGAGGUACGCGGAAUGCGAGGUGUAGCGGUGAAAUGCAUAGAUAUCGCGCAGAACUCCGAUUGCGAAGGCAGCGUACCGGCGCCAGACUGACGCUGAGGCACGAAAGCGUGGGGAUCGAACAGGAUUAGAUACCCGAGUAGUC